ensembl:lncRNA
UUUUUUAUUAACCUUUUUUUAAUGAACCCUGAUUAUUGUUUAAUUACAAAUGAAGAGGGACAGAGAAGAGAAACUCUAGUACAGGUGGUUCCUCUAUGAUAAAAACAAAAAAUAAGAAGUCUCCGUCUCCCCUCUGGAGUGACAGCUCCUUGUUAAGGUCCAAACGAGGGUAGAGACAGGACAGGAGACCGGGGGACACAUUUAAAAUACAAUGCUUAAACAGUACAAAGCUUUUUUUUCUUACACAAUCCACCAUAAGGGGAAGAAAAUAUAUAUGUACAACAUCAAAUAAAAAUGGUUUAUUUCCCCCUGCUGUAUAUCAUUUAGGGAUUAUAUGACCCUCUUCUUUUCCAUGGUAACGUGGGUAUAAAAUCAACAUAAGUAUAAAAAAAGAAGAAAUCAUUAAAAAUAAAAUGCACUGAAGCCCACUAAGUUGAAGUUCCUGGGAGAGUGCAAAACAAGAACGGACAGGAAACCAGGAAAAGAGCAGAAUAAUCAAAAACAGUCACGUUAAUAAUAGAAUUACAAGAGUAACAGUAAAUAAGUCAGGAAAAAAUACAGAAGAAAAUGCCAAUGACAAGCGGGGCGCGGCGGGGAACGGUUCUUUCUCACCGCACACUCUGAAGCGGCUACAUCGGCCCCUAAAAGUUCAUUUGUUGAUCUUUUACUGGCACUUGUAGCAAUUUGCUGACAGUAAAUGACCCUUAUUCAACGGUGAUAAUGUAAAACAACCCAAUCAGAAGUAAGAGAUGUGUAUGUGAGUGACGGCAUAACCAUAGAAACCACACAUGCACAAGUGCACGUACACACACACACACACACACACACACACACACACACACACACACAGCGAGGAAAAUGAGCUGGGUCGGCUUUGGGAAGUCCCUCUUUCUCCAAUCUGCAGAUGCUUUAUGAUGUCGUUUCCGUUCCACUGUGUGUGUGUGUGUGGCAGCGAUUGUCUGCCUCCUCCUCCAGAGAGACCGUGGGGGCGUGUGAUGUCACAUGUGAUGUCAUGUUUCCCUUUAUUCUAGGCUCACUGUAACCAGGGUGUGUGUGUGUGUGUGUGUGUGUGUGUGUGUGUGUGUGUAGGGUUCAGAGCAGCCCGUGCACACGCCUAUCACACAAAGCCGACCCGGCACAGAGUCCAGAGUCCGCGCUUGAAGCAGGGUCCGUUUGCACCGGCAGCUGGCUGUGAGGUGACCGGCCAGCUUUCACCCAAUCACAAUCACCCGGUCCACUCUGAAGGUGCGUGUCGGCGGCGGCGGCUCACCGCUUCAGGUACUUGGUGAAGCCCCGCCUGUCGGGUAGAACACGCCCACAGAGUGUGACUCGGCUCCCAAGACUCUCCUGGGGGUCAAGUCGCUGAUUUGUCCUCGUGCCGUCACGCCCUCCAUUGCCUGACUACGCAACAACUACAAACAGUACAAUAUAAACACAAAACGGAUGCCGGCGGCCUUCGGCGCUGCAGCUCAGCGAUGGAGAGAAGGCAAGAGUGAGAAGGCAAAGGCUGAAUGAUGCUGGAAAUAAUAUGCCCGCUGAAUACAUACAUAUCUUUAACAUUAAAAAUAGUAGGAUUUUCCUGAUUUGUAUCAAAUGACCAUAUUGAAAUAUACUAUUUGAAUUCAAUAUAUAUUUGAAUAAAAUAUAUAUGUGUAGUUUUACUUUUUCUGCAUCUCUCUUUUACAAAAAACAGAAGGCAUGGUGGUGCUGUGUGUGUGUGUGUGUGUGUGUGUUAAAACAUGCUGGGGGCAACGUGACAAAACUCUUGUUGGCUCGUAAAAAGGCACAAUCUUAUUUGGAAUUGUUCGCUAAAAUGGGAAAUGGUUGUUUUUCCACUUAAAAAGAAAAAGAAAAGAAGAACUUCUUUCUUUCUGAUGUCUCAGCGAAAGUUGGCCUGAGUUGAACUCGACGUGGGGGGCACCCCCCCCCCCCCUCCCCGAGGGGCAAACCGGUUCGCUCCGAACGAGUCCUCGGAUCACUGCGAAUGCCCUAAAAUACUGUCCCGUGUCAGCGAGAGGCACAAAGAAUACUUUAAAACGCUCAAACUAAAUAAAUGGUGCCACAGAGCGCUGUUGAUCCGUCAGAGGGAGCAAAACAAACCACGGCGCCACGCACACGGGAUCAAGUGGGACUAAGAGAAGGAGGGGGGGGGGGUUCGUCCUGGUGACGUAGGACUCCUCCGUCGCCUUGUGUCUUUGUACACUGUAGUGAACGAUCGCUUGGUGUCCCAGCGGUUUCCUGGUGGUGGGGGGGGGGGGGGGGGCUCCUAGUCACCCCCUCGUUCUUUGUUUUCUCCACCCUCACCGCCCUCCACCAUGUAAACGGCUGCUUGGCGAUGCUCGCAGGUUGAGGGGUAAAAGUUUUUCUUUGAGAAACAUCAGGAUCUGUUAGUCUGUUGCUGCUGAGCAGAAAUGUUUGGGGAGCAGUACCGAUGUGGAGGGGCACUGGUGGGAUUAAACAGGGACUAAUGAUCCUGUGUACAGGGGCGUUUCCAUGGUAAAGAUUUGUUAUCUCUUAAUGUUGUCGGUCACAGGAGAAAUACUGCUGAGUUGGCGUUUGAUGGGCCUGACGGGCCGAGCCUUGUAGACCACCAGAGGAACAUCUAUGUUCUUCUGCUUCUGCCGGCUCUGAUGCCUCACGGCGGCGUGCUGACAGACCUGAUCAUGGGAGGGGGGAUAAUGGCGUAAUCUCGUUCUGCGCUACAUUGUGGACCUGUGUGGGUGGGGGGGG